rnacentral:lncRNA from 1 species
AUUCCCUAGGUUCAUGCAUCCACUCUAUCAUUACACUUUCAUUUUCUCCCCUCAUUUGCACACGUACACCUUUAUCCCUUCACUUGCACACGAACACUUCUCCUCUCAUUUGCACACGUACACCUUUUUAUCCCUUCACUUGCACACAAGCACCUUUAUCCCUUCACUUGCACACGAACACUUCUCCCCUCAUUUGCACACGUACACCUUUUUAUCCCUUCACUUGCACACAAACACUUUUAUCAUCACUUGCACACAUGUACUUCAUAUUAUCAUUUCACACACCGCACCUUGCCCACUCACGUGCACAUUUCCAUUUACACAUUCUUAUCUUUUAUUACUUUUUCAAACUCAUGUCCUCACAUUGCAUACAUGCAUCCCAUUCAUUUGCAUCCCACUCGCAUUAUUCGUGAUUUCUUCAAAGGAUCGUUAUUGGGCUUCACGAUUAAUGUGAUUGGCACCACUCAACCUUUGAAGGGAAAUUUCCCCCAAUACCCCUAGGUCUAGGGUUUGCAUUCAUGUAGUGCAUCCAAAUGUAAUAAAUUCUUUGGUUAAAACAAGAAAAUCUUUGAUUAAAUCAACGUAACUAGCCUUGGCUAGGUCAAAGGGGUGCCUUGGAUUUUCAUCCUUGCCUUCCCCUUCGUCAAAUGUGACUCCCGAAUCUUUUUCAUUGGUUUACGUGGACUAGGAGUCGUUCAAAAGGGUUUCUUACUUUUUUCCUUAAAAAAUUCACUUUUUUGGGUGACUUGGUACACCCUAACUCUAUACCAAGUGGCGACUCCAUUUUUCAUAUAAAAAACCCCUUUUGAACUAUUUUUCUUGGGUCAAAUCGUCGCAUUUUCAAAAGUCCCAUUUAGACCCAUCUUUCUUUUAAAUCACAAUUAAUUUUCCAAUCACACAAAUACAUUUUUAAAAAACCAUAUUUAUUUAUUUAUUUAUUUUAUCAAAAAAUGGGGCGCGACAGUUGGCGACUCCACUGGGGACUUGAGAGUCCGAGCAAUCGAUUUAGUCAAUUCUUUUCUUCUUUUAACCUUUUCAUUUAUCACAUUGGAUGUUUAGGAUUGCAUUUUUCCUUUUUUUAGGAUUUUUGCAUUUCGCGUAUCAACUCACUUCCUCACACAUUCGCCUACAAUUGUUUGGAUGGAUGGAUGAUUUAUUUAUGUAUGAUUUCGCGCUUUGCAUUGCAUUUGGGGGGUGUGUGUCACCCUUAGAGCCUUGCGAUUGGUUCUCGACCCCUUCCCUCAAAAUAGGGAACACUCCAUACGUGCACGUUUACUUAUUGUUAUCCCACUUUAUUUUAUUUUUUCGUGGGCGUUUCCCACACCGCCUUGUAGGAUUAGGAUCGAUCGCCUUGGGUAGGCGGCUGGUGUGCGCUGCGCCCAUAGCGCUACCUAAGGGAUCACUCGAGCCACCGACCAAGGGCCCUGGGGGUGAUGACCCUUCGCCUUUAGGUCUGAAGGCUUGGGAGCCGAGACUUAUCGAGUCUAGAUGCAUUAGUGAACCCCAACCUCAUGCAUCCAUACUAGAAUUACCUAGGAUAGAGUCGACCUCAUCCUGAACUAGGAACACUAGGCACGAGGGAGGGGGUCCCACCCCUUUUCCUUAUGUACUUUUCCUGCUUUUUAUAUCAUUUAAUUGUCCAACGUGUUAUGUGAUUAUGUGUUGAACUAACUUUCAUUGUUUCUUGCCUUCGCACUCACAAACGUUAGGAAAUGAGAGGUCUGGCAUGACCUUUCUUUUAGGACCUACCCUUGUAGAUAGGCUUUUACACGUUUAAAGUUUGUGGCAUAUUUCGUUCAUAAAUUAAUAAUGCCAUACCAUUUUAGGCCUACCCUGGCAGAUAAAGGGUUCCUUAGGUCACGUCUCAUUUCGAAUUGCAUAUUUUACUGCUUUUAAUAAACUGGCAUCACGCAUAAACCAUAGAAAGGGGCCACGUAGGGGAUCCCGUGUUUAGGAAUAAGCCGCCAUAUGUCUCGGAUAUUUAAUCCAAUGGGACUUACACGUUUACUAUUUCUAUAUUACCUAAGGGGUAAAAUCCCAGGGUAAGGUACUAAAAAGUGAAUUGCUCCUUCAGAUGGCUCCGUGUCGAAUGUUAGACCAUAUACCUCGUGAGCUGAUUGAUUGGAAGAACAACAUGGCACAUGAAGUGAACAAACUUUUCCCGUAUAUAGGACAUUUACCUAGUCUUCUGAACAUAACUCCGAAUGUAGCCAUUGUCGAAGCUUUGCUCGAGUUCUGGGAUCCGGACGGCUCUGUUUUCCGGUUUGGAGAGUGCGAAUUAACCCUAACCUUGGAGGAGAUAGAAGGAUUGUUCCAAGUACCUGGGAAAGGACACCCUAUGGUAUACCCAAUGAAUGGCACCCGAGAACAAUUUUGUAGGUUCUUAGGGUUGAAACAAUUUAGCAUGAAUCCACACCCGGACGUAAAGUCAUGUCCACUCGAGUUCUUAUACAAGCGAUUUGGGGGAAAGGAAGCCUAUGAUCAUCACCGCGAGGAUUUCUUCAUUAGUAAAGAGCAGUGGGAAGAGAAACGAGUACAAGCCUUUGGGAUAGCCCUGAUUAAUCUACUCCUGUUUCCGCAAAAGCAUGGAAAAGUUAUUUUCUCAACGAUCAACAUGGUUCAGAGUGUGUUUGUGGGAAUUAAAGGGAAAACUCCCACCCUAGUACCCAUUAUCAUUGCUAACAUUUUCGCCGCUAUUACGGAAUGCCGAAAGAGGAGAGGGUUCUUCUAUGCAUCCAACCUAGUGCUUCAAAUGUGGGCAAUGGAACAUCUGGCAAAAAGGGCGCUAAAUCCGUUAGGUUCAUGUCUUUCAACAGCAAAUUGGGUUGAGUCGCACCGAGAAAGGGUUAUAAGAUACUAUCGAGUAGCAUCUCCUAGUGUGUUCAGCCAGGAAUUCAAUGCCUUAACUUCGGAUAAGGUCCAGUGGGUUCUCGAUUGGACGAAAGUAAGGGAUCCGGCUUUCAAGACUAUACGGUUUGACUUCAUUCCGUUAGCAAGCACCAGUGGGUUGGUUAGGUACAUUCCACAACGAGUUAUGAGACAGUUUGGGUACCCGCAGAGAGUGCCAACCAUACAAGAAGUGGGAGGCAUCGAACUCAAUACAAUCACUAAGUGCCGGACUAUGGUGUUGGAAGCUUGGGGGAAUUUGUGUAGUUUGGACAACCUGCAUUUGGACCAAGUGAAUAAAGAAGAGCCUAGCAUCGUCUUGGAGUACAACGAAUGGAUCAAAUCAAUGAUGGAACAAGGAAGAGAAAGGAUACCGUUGGUUACCGUUGGUCUUGAAGAGCAGAAUGGGAAACUAAGGAAAGAAUUAGAGGAGCAUCAGUUGCAGAUCAUGGUGCCCGAUCAAGCAUUGGAAGACGCCCGCACACAAUUGAGGAAAGAGGCAAGGAAGACCGAGAAGUUGGAAAAGGCAUUGAGUGCAUUUGAUAAAAUCCAAGAUGAAAUUCGAAAGCUUAGUAUUGGGAGUUCUAGGGAAUCCCAACACACUAGACUAGCCAGGCAUGAAGAUUUUGUAAGAAUGGUCGGCCGAACCAUCAAUGAAGUUGUAAAGAAGGACUGAGUUUAUCCGUAUUUUAAUGAGAAUUCCUGCUUUUAUAUUCACUUACAGGUUUGAAAAUGGGAUUUUACCCCGAAGGCUUGCAUCAUGCUAGGCCUACCCUUGGCACAAAAGGGCCCCCCAAAUAGGACAUGCAUCCGAAUUGUUCAAAUAAUUACUAACUCAUGUCUUUUUCUUUUUCUCUUUUGAAUAAAUUGCAGAAAUUCAAUAAUGAUUGGUUUAUCUAAAGCAGUCUUUUGCCUUCUCAGGUAAAAUUUUUCAAAAUAGCUUUUCGGAAAAGCCCCAUUAUUACGCGAUCCCGAAGUAGAGCCCAAAGGAAUCGUGUAAACAUGAAUAUUCAACCAGAAUCAUCCGAUAAGACUACAGCGACUACACAGCCGGAAGUCACGAGUCCUGGAGUCCAGUUGGCCGAGUUACUUGCUAAGUUUGGGGAAAUGGCCUCUGAAAUGGCCGCCCAAAAGAAAUUAAUAGAUGAGCUUGUCAGUAGCGGGGUACAGCCGGAGCUUCCACACGUAAUACAACUGCAAUCUGAACCCUUUGUUAUUCCUACAGUUCAAACUACUGUUCCCAUGCAAGGUCCACCCGAAGGGACUUUCACCUACCCCACCGUUCAUCUGCCAUACACUUACCCUCCUAAUCCUUCAUUUUUCCCUACUCAUAUGCAAGGCCCACAACCUCAAGUCACUGCAAAUAUACCACAUGAGACACAAGCUUUUUAUUACCCCACCACUGAGCCUUAUCUGCCAGACCAUUUUAUUCAAACCAAACCAGAGGUGGGAGGAUCCUCUGCUCCCAUUGAUGUGAAGUUAUUAAAGCGCCUGGACCGUUUCGAUGAAUUCAUGAGGAAGAGUCAGGUGCUAAACAAGCAAGGAGUUUUGGAUUACGAUGAGCUGUGUCUCUUUCCGAAUGUGCAACUGCCUGAGGGGUUCAAAACUCCUAAGUUUAACAAAUACGAUGGGAUGGGUAAUCCCAAGACGCACCUCCGACUAUUUGCAAACAAAUUGGGAAAGCCUGUGGACGAUGAAAACUUGCCUCUAAGGUUGUUCCCUGAAAGUCUGGAAGGGGACGCACUUGACUGGUAUUCAAAUCUGAAACCUGAAGACGUAAGAACCUGGAUUGACUUGUCCAAGGCUUUCGUAAGGCAAUAUGAGUAUAAUUGUGAGUUGGCACCGACUAGAACCACAUUGGAAGGAACUAAAAGAAAACCCUCCGAAGAUCAUAAGACUUAUGCAAAGAGGUGGAGAAGGAUAGCUGCCAAGGUGGAGCCUCCAAUGACCGAGGAAGAAAUCAUCCGUACUUUCAUCAAGGCCCAUGAUCCUCCAUACUUUGAAGAGAUUUUCCGUAUGACCGGAUGUUCAUUCGCGGCAAUUGUAAAUAAACUUGAAGAAUUUGACGACUUUGUACGAGCCGGAAAAAUUGUUAAUGUAUCCGCCCUGAAAUCGCAAGUGGAAGCUUUGCAAGGGCGAGGAAGCAGUGAAAAGAAACCACAAUUCAAAAAGAAAGAAGGAGAUACAACCUUUGUUUGGAACCACAACCCCUCACCCAGACCCCGAUACCAACACGACCCAGCCUACCAGCAACCUUACCCUUACUACUAUUCAAGCCCAAACCCUGUAUAUACUACCAACAUCCACCACCCUCGACCUCGUCCAAACUAUACUAACCCACCUUCAGCCCCUUUUCAAAUUUCUCAACCAAAUCCACCCCAAAACCGACCUCGACCUCCAUUUAACCCAAGAUUUCCUCCUCCAAAUAGACCUGCUUACAACUAUCCUCAACCCACUGAACCCUACAACCGACCCCCAAGCCGUACUUUUACCAAUUUAGGUAGGCCUUUAGACCAACUGUACGACCAGUUAAGGGCCUCCGGAAAAAUUGGUACAGUACCACCUCCUACCUAUCCGUAUGGCAUGCCCGCUUGGUAUAACCCGCAAGCUGUUUGCGCAUAUCAUUCGGGGGCACCUGGGCAUGCAACUUUGGAUUGCAAGGCGCUAAAGCAUAAAGUUCAGGAUAUGGUUGAGUCUGGAGAAAUCGUGAUCAGAAAGAGGGAGCCGCAAGGGCCAAACGUAAAUCAAAACCCCUUACCAGAGCAUGUUGGGGUUAUUAUGGACGAUGCGGAGUACGAGGAACAAAUCGAGAAAUUGGCAAUAGAAGCUGAAGUGUUUGGGGUCACGGACCAACCGUUUGUCACAGAGUUGCCAUUCGAAGAAGAUAACAAGCCUUUUGUCUUAGAUCUCACGCCAGCGGAGAAUGAAGCUUUGAAACCAGUAGUCAUCGAAUUCCCGAAGCAGGAGCCCGUAUUAAGUCUGCAACAAGUGCCGUGGAAUUACGAUGAGCCUAGCAUACAGAUCGGGGAAAAUUCAACUGCAAAGAAAGAGGUGUCAGUGGUUACCAGAUCGGGGAAGACUGUAAGUCCAUUUGAAACUACUAUUCCGAUUCAAGCUAAUUCCGAACCACCCAUUAAGCCAACAAUCACCGAGAAAGAAGCCGUGGAUUUCCUUAAACGACUUCAGAGAAGUGAAUACAACAUAGUGGAAAAGCUAAGCAAAUCACCUGCCCAGAUAACCAUGUUGGACCUACUUUUCUCUUCAGACGUGCAUAGGGAUGCAUUGAUCGACGUAUUAACAAGAGCUCAAAUUCCGAGGGACAUUUCUGUUGAUAAUUUUUCAAACGUGGUGGGGAGCGUGUUAUUCAACAAGCAAAUUGCUUUUUCUGAUGAUGAAUUGCCGACGGAAGGCAUCGGACAUAAUAGGGCGUUGUACAUAACCGUGAGGUGCAACGGGAAAAUGCUGCCAAAAGUAUUAAUCGAUAAUGGAUCCGCACUGAAUAUUUGUCCUUGGAGUACCUUAGAGAAACUAGGAUUGCAAGACAUCAAGCUGAGGCCUUCAGGGACUAUCGUUCGAGGGUUUGAUGGAGCGCAGAGGGAGCCAAUAGGAGAAGCAGAUCUAGUAAUCGAGAUGGGGCCCGCCCAAUUUCAAAUAACUUGCCAAGUAAUGCACUUCCCGAGCAUUUACAAUAUUUUACUUGGAAGGCCAUGGAUUCACAAGUCGGGGGCUGUGCCGUCUUCGUUGCAUCAAUUGCUCAAGUUCGUGGUAAAUGACAAACUAAUCACUAUCUUUGCUGAAGAGGACUGCCUGGUGAUCACCGAUUCUGGAGUUAAAGAGGAGGGUAGUCAAAGUGUUACCAUGUCCCCUCACAGCACAUCCGAUAUAGUCUCCGUAAGUUGGAUAACCACGGAGGAACAAACUCUCUCAAAGGCCAGUGUAAUGAUGGCCAGAGAAAUGAUUCGUGGAGGAUACAAAUUCGACAAGGGGUUGGGGCGCGAACUGCAAGGGAUCCUGAAGCCAGUGGAGAUUAUGGAAAAAAGGGAUACGUUUGGUUUGGGUUUCCGGCCAACCACCAAGGACAUCAAAGAGAUGAAGGAGCGUAAAAGAGCAGAAAAAGAGGGCCGACAAAGGGUUUUUGACAUUCCACCGUUGCGGUAUACCUUUCCACGGCCAACUGAGAUAAUCACAGCAGAGGGUAAUUCAACUGAAGAAAUCGAGGAUAGUUUGUCCCAAUUGUUCAUUGGGGCAACAUUUGAAGAUGAUUUUCCGAGCGAGGCCGAAUUUCCUGACAUCCCUGAGGGGUCUAUUUCUAAUUGGACUGCCGAGUUCCUGCCUGUUCAGAAGGAGUUUCGGUAAAUCUAGGGGGUUUGUCAUUCAUAUGGAUUCAUGGAAAAGUACUUUUGCAUCUGUAAAUAGUUAAUGAAAGCAUCUUUACUUUUGGCUAAAAUUUGCAUAUGUAAAUAUUGUUUCCGUUUGCUUUCUUUUUGUUUUGCUUUCAAUCAAAGGUUUUAUGAAAAUGCACAAGUUGUUCUUGUCAUGUUGUUGUUUAUUCGUUUGUUUAUAUUCAUAUUGCUUGUUUCAUUUGUUUGUUGUAUGUUUAUUUGCUUAUUGUCCCACAUUCGUUAAUUCUUUCAGAUGGCCAAAAAUAAAACUGUUUGACCCGUUGGAUAUUACUAUUCUGGAAUUCGAUAAUGGCAAUCUCUAUAUCACUCACGACUUGGAGGUCUGUGAAUCCGAGCUCCAAAGCGAGAGUGAUAAUGAGGAGGUGUUCGAUUCUUUUGCAAAGGACUUUGAACAAUAUGAGGAAAAACCGAAACCGAACCUGGAAGAGACAGAAACAGUAAACAUUGGCACUAAGGAUGAAGUUAAGGAGGUGCAGAUCAGUAUUCAUUUGAAUGAGAGGCAGAAAAAGGAGAUGAUUGAAUUUUUGACUAUGUUCCAGGAUGUGUUCGCAUGGUCCUAUGAUGAUAUGACUGGCAUUUCAACUGAUGUGGUGGUGCAUAGGUUACCCACAGACCCUUCUUUUCCACCCGUAAAACAAAAACCCCGAAAAUUCAAACCAGAUAUGAGCCUCAAAAUAAAAGAGCAAAUUGAAAAACAACUCAAAAUCAACAUUAUCAUUGUUUCCCAUUACCCAAUUUGGCUUUCAAACCCAGUCCCUGUUCCAAAAAAGAGUGGAGAGGUGAGAGUUUGUGUUGACUAUAGAGACCUUAAUAAAGCCAGUCCUAAAGAUGAUUUUCCUCUACCAAAUAUUCACAUUCUCUUAGACAAUACUGCCGGACAUGAGAUUGAAACCUUUUGCGAUUGUUUUGCUGGCUAUCACCAAAUUUUGAUGGCAGAAGAGGAUAGGGAGAAAACUGCUUUCAUUACCCCUUGGGGCACAUUUUGCUACCGAGUGAUGCCUUUCGGUUUAAAGAAUGCCGGAGCAACAUAUCAGAGGACCAUGACAACCCUAUUUCAUGAUAUGAUCCACCGAGAAAUGGAGGUCUACGUGGAUGACAUUAUAAUCAAGUCUAAAAGGGCAGAGGACCACUUGGUUGAUCUGAAGAAAUUAUUCGAGAGGUUGCGGAAGUACAAUUUAAAGCUAAAUCCUGCGAAAUGCGCCUUCGGAGCACCUGCGGGUAAGCUGUUGGGAUUCAUUGUUAGCAAGAAGGGCAUAGCAAUAGAUCCGGCGAAAAUCAAAGCAAUUCGAGACAUGCCAGUGCCAAAAACUCAGAAGGACGUGAAAAGCUUUUUAGGGAAGAUCAAUUUUAUCGGGAGGUUCAUUGGCCAACUAACUGCCACAUGCGAGCCGUUGUUCAAAUUAUUGAGGAAGAACGUGCCGUUGUAUUGGAACGAGGAGUGCCAACAGGCUUUUGACAAGAUUAAAGAUUAUUUGUUGCAUCCACCAGUCUUAGUGCCACCCAAACCGGGCCGGCCUUUGAUUAUGUAUUUAUCCGUGCUUGAAGGAGCAGUUGGGUGUGUCCUCGGGCAGCACGAUGACUCUGGAAGGAAAGAACAAGCCAUUUACUAUCUAAGCAAGAAGUUCACGCAGUACGAGACUAAUUAUUCAUUCAUUGAGAAAAGCUGCUGUGCAUUGGCCUGGGCAGCCCAGAAGUUGAGACACUAUCUGUUGAGCCAUACCACGUAUCUUAUUUCCCGGUCUGAUCCUUUGAAGUAUCUUUUGGAGAAGCCGAUGUUGACUGGGCGUCUGGCGAAAUGGCAGAUAAUUCUCUCAGAGUUCGAUAUUGUUUUCACUUCACAGAAAGCUGUCAAGGGGCAAGCUAUAGCUGAUCAUUUGGCGGAAAAUCCAAGAGAUGAUGAUUAUCAACCACUCCGUACUUAUUUCCCUGACGAGAGGGUCCUAUUUGUAGGCGCUGCAGAUGAUAUAAGUGAACAAAGUUCUGAAUGGAGGCUUUUCUUCGAUGGAGCUUCGAAUUCUCUCGGAGCUGGAAUUGGAGCUGUUCUGGUUUCACCCGAAGGGAAACAUUACCCUGCCGCUGCCAAAUUGCAAUUCGCUUGCACGAAUAACAUGGCUGAGUAUGAAGCCUGCAUUUUUGGUCUCAAAAUGGCGUUAGAAAUGGAAAUCAAAGAGUUGAUAGCUUUCAGUGAUUCAGAUUUGCUCGUACACCAGACUUUGAAGCAGUGGAUAACCAAGGAUUCGAAAAUUCUUCCUUACCAUUGUAGUUUGCUCACUUUGGCCAAGCAAUUUCAAAAUUUAGAGUUCAGACAUCUCCCGCGAGCCCGUAAUGCAUUUGCUGAUGCCUUGGUCACUCUAGCCUCUAUGAUCCAGUAUCCAGACGAAUUGAAAAUCGAACCAAUCCAAAUUCAACUUCAAGAUAAACCUGCCCACUGUUGGGUCGCAGACGAGUCCUCUGAUACCAUGCCUUGGUAUAAGGAUAUUAAGGAAUUUCUCAAAACGGGGUCUUACCCUCAGCAUGCUAGUUCAAAGGAUAAGAGUUUUUUGCGCAGAAUGGUUUCCAAGUUUUUCUUAAGUGGAGAAGUGUUGUACAAAAGAACCUCAGAUUUGAACCUUUUAAGGUGCAUUGAUGAGGAUGAAGCUCAGUAUAUGAUGAAAGAAGUGCACAGUGGUGUUUGUGGACCUCACAUGAAUGGCCAUUUGCUGGCGAAGAAAAUCAUGAGAACCGGAUACUUCUGGCUUACCAUGGAGCAUGAUUGUAUAGACUUUGUCCGGAGAUGUAUAAAAUGCCAAAUGCACGGUGACAUUAUACGCGCUCCACCCACUGAGUUGCAUAGCAUGACCGCCCCGUGGCCCUGUUCAAUGUGGGGUAUGGACGUAAUUGGCAUGAUUGACCCGCCUGCUUCAAAUGGGCAUCGAUUUAUAUUGGUGGCAAUCGAGUACUUUACCAAAUGGGUUGAAGCGGAGUCAUUCAAACAUGUAACGAAGAAAGUAGUGGCCAAUUUCUUGAGAGAUCACAUCAUUUGUCGCUUCGGAGUACCCGAGACGCUGAUUACAGAUAAUGCCAAAAAUCUGAACAAUGACAUGGUAGAUGGACUAUGUGAGCAGUUCAAAAUCAGACACCGUAAUUCUGCUAUUUAUAGGCCUCAGAUGAAUGGAGCCGUGGAAGCUGCGAACAAAAAUUUGAAGAAGAUUAUACGCAAAAUGACUGAAAGGCAUCGUGAUUGGCAUGAGAAGCUGCCUUAUGCACUAAUGGCAUAUCGGACUUCUAUCCGAACAUCAACUGGGGCAACGCCGUAUUCACUUAUGUAUGGAAUGGAAGCUGUCUUGCCAGCUGAGGUUGAGAUCCCGUCGCUACGAAUCCUUAUGGAAGCUAAGUUGGAGGAGGCUGACUGGUUGAAGCAGCGACAUGAGCAAUUAACUUCGAUCGAUGAAAGGAGAUUCAACGCUAUCUGUCAUGGUCAAUGCUAUCAGAAGCGGGUGGCCCGGGCUUAUAACAAAAAAGUCCAUCGGCGGGCAUUCGAAGAAGGUGAUAAAGUACUAAAGCGGAUUUUGUCAAUGCAAGAAGAAGCUAAAGGCAAAUUUGCUCCAAAUUGGCAAGGGCCAUUCAUUGUCCAAAAGGUAUUACCUGGCGGAACGCUCAUCUUGGCGGAAAUGGAUGGACGGGCAUUCCCUCAACCCAUCAACUCAGAUAUGUGCAAAAAGUUUUUCAUUUGAUCAUGCAAAUUUUCUUAAGAAAUUCAUGCAAAUGGCGAAAUACAAGUCAGGCCAUUUUCUUUUACACUAAAAAAUAUUUUAUCCCUACUUGUCCCCUUUGAGCCACCAGAAUUGACAAAUUUUCAUUUGACAGCCCCUGGGAAUUGCAAACCCCACACUGGGGCAAAGUUAUUUUGAAAGAGAGAUGAAAAGAAAAGAAAGCAGAAAACCCCACACUGGGGCAAAAUUUAGUUUUAAAGAAAAAUGCAAAAGUGAGGAAAAAUGCAAUGAAAGAAUGCAAAAGAGAAAAUCCAAUUAAACUGGGGCAGAUUUUCCUCGGUUUCAUUUCAAAAUGGUGCAAUCUCAGUUCAUUUCACACCUCUUAUCAAAAUCUGCUUUUAAGCCUGAACUUUUCUUGAGAACACCCCACCUGACCUCGUUACAAAAGCCCAAAGUCCUGGCUUUCGUCACUUGCUGCAUUUCUACUAGAAAAUUUGUUAACCAACUGGCAGGUGAUGUCCGUAAUGCCUUCGCCCAAUUUCUCAAGGGAAGUGCAUUUUACUGAUGCUAGAAUCUUUAAUGCAUAUUUCUGAGUCAACUGUGGUCAAGAGAUUUCGUUGUUCUUUAGGUGAAAACCCGAAAGGGCGCCUCAAUUAAAAAAUAAAAAUAAAAAUAAAAAUAAAAAAUAAAAAAAACAAAAUCAAUCAAAAAGGGGUGGGGGCAACCUUGGUGAAAACCCGAAAGGGCGCCAAGGUCGGUUUUUCGCAACGGAUGAGCACGAUAAGGGACAGCUGGUGACCUGGUUCAUUUAGACUUUUCCUCAUGUUUGUGAUAUUUCUGCCAGUAUCGAAUUCCGAAACAGAUAUACCCCAAGUUUCGAAUAUAACAUUGUUUGGCCAAACUUGUACAAACAUUCUUUUACAAAAUGUACUCUUAUAAAUCUUUUGGUUCCUCUCAAUUCAAUUAUUUGUGUUCGACUGUUUGUGAUUGUUUGUAUUCUUUUGGAUUCUCAUUUUUGCCUGACAUAGGAAAUUCAUUUUGCAUAUAUCAUUGUUUCAUAUGACAUUUUCAUGCAUCAUUCUUUCACCAUUGAAUUCGUACGAAUGAUAAACCCUAAGGUUUGUUCAAAGAUGGGGAAUUCGGUCAUCUAUCGCAGUGGUUAAAAGUAACACGACUGCUACACGGAUUUGGGUGAAGUAGUAAACACGUGCUUAUCAGUCUCAGAAUCUGAAAGGUUUCAAAGUUGCAAGCUCGACUAAGGUGUACGCCGCAAACUAGAGGCAAAAGCAUCACAAGACUCAUGUUUACACGAUUCUCAAGGCUAAUCGGAUCAAAUGAUGGUGGCGAGUCCAUUACCACUUUUUCUUUUCUUGCAGGAACAUUACAAAUAUUCUAUUUCUCGCACUUAAAUCAACGUCAGAACUGGCUCCCCAAUAAGCAACGGUGAAGUGAUAAAGUUGUUGACGAAGUUUGAGCAUAAAGAACGACAUCAGUUAUCGUUUCAGUCACAAAAAUCAAAACUCCCUUUUGCUGCAAAAGUGUGAACUACUUUCAGGUAAAACUCAAUUUAUUGUUUAAACAUCUCCAGUGAAGUCCCGUUUAAAUUCUGUUCGGGUCAGUCCCGUUUAAAUUCUGUUCGGGUCAGUCCCGUUUAAAUUCCUGUUCGGGUCAGUCCCGUUUAAAUUCUGUUCGGGUCAGUCCCGUUUAAAUUCCUGUUCGGGUCAGUCCCGUUUAAAUUCCUGUUUCAAAUUCCUGUUCGGGUCAGUCCCGUUUAAUUCCUGUUCGGGUCAGUCCCGUUUAAAUUCUGUUCGGGUCAGUCCCGUUUUAAAUUCCUGUUCGGGUCAGUCCCGUUUAAAUUCCUGUUCGGGUCAGUCCUGUUUAAAUUCCUGUUCGGGUCAGUCCCGUUUUAAAUUUCUGUUCGGGUCAGUCCCGUUUUAAAUUUCUGUUCGGGCCAGCCCCGUUUAAUUUCUGUUCGGGUCAGUCCCGUUUAAAUUUCUGUUCGGGUCAGUCCCGUUUUAAAUUCCUGUUCGGGUCAGUCCCGUUUUAUUUUUCAUGUUCGGGUCAGUCCCGUGUUAUAAUUCCUUUUCGUGAGAAUCUUUUGCAGCCCAAUAACACAGGUAAGUAUUUGGUGUCUACUUCUUUGUCUCAAGUUUUUUCAAAACUCAGACAAAGAGGGGCAAACUGUAGACACCAAAUUUUGAAUAAUUCUAUGUAGCAUCUAUUUCAUGAUUUUCAUUUUAGAUUGCUUGCAUUUUAGUUCGUUAUUGUGUGUUUUGCACUAUUAGUUGUUAUGAUAUUUUAGUUUUAUUCAUUUUCGCCCUUUUAGUUGACCUAUUUCAUUUGCUAUUUAUUCUUAUUCACUUUUAGUUUUAGUUUUUAGUUUUAGCUUUUAAGUUUAAGAUUAGCAUAGAGUUUUUUUUAGAAAAAGAAAAAAAAAGAAAAGAAAACAUCAAAAAAUAUGUUUUAAUCAUGUUGUUUUUAUUCAAUGCUUUCUCGAAGGGAAAAUGAAAAUGAAAAUUAUAGGAAAAAGGAGAAAAGAGAAAAAUUAAAGAAAAAGAGGAAAAAGAAGAAAAAUUCAAAAAUAUAGGCUUUAGUUGGAUUGGAAAAAUGAAAAAAAGAGAAAAGGAAAAUUUGUUCACAAAAAAUAUGUUUAUUUCUUUUAAAUUCAGCUUUUUGGCAUUUUAUUUUAUUAAGUUAUUUAAAAAAAAAAAAAGUGAAAAAUGAGAAAAAUGGAAAAAUGGAAAAUUGCAUUUUUGUUGUUUUUAGUUUAUUUUUAUCUAAUGUUAAUUAAGUUGUUUUCAUCAUUAAUUAUUAUUGUUUUAUUAUUAUCAUUUUUGUUGUUUAAUUAAUUAAUUAGUUAAAAAAUAUAUAUAAAAAAAAAUAAAUAAAUACCACCGCAUGCACGCUGCAAUUUUUUUGGCAGCGUGCAAAGGACAAUUUCAGCAGAGCCAUCGGAUGGCUGGAUGGAAAGGGAAGGAUAAACCCUUCAUCCUCACCAUUCGAGAGAGGGUUUUAUAGAUUGGAGUUCCAUAUAAAAGGUAACAAGAAGCAGCAGCCGCAGGAAGAGGGUUAGAGAGAAAGGAACAGCUGCAAAAUCUGGGGAGAGAAGGGAGUGAACGGCAGAACUGAGAGCAAGAGGGAAAAGGGGCAGAGCUAGGAAGAAAGAGGGAGGACAAUCGAGAGAGAGAGCUAGUGGGGAGAGAGUGGAACGGCUAAGGAAAACUGAGAAGAGAGAGACAAAGGUUGUCGGCUGUAGACUAAAGGGAAAAAUCAGAAACAAGCAAAAGAAAGGAAAGAAAAAGGCUAAGAAAUCAACGAGAGUGUUCGUCGGCAGGAGAGCUAGAAGGAGAACCGAGGAAGGAGGAUACGGGUAAAAAAGAAAGGACGAAACCAGGAGGGUCUUCAGAGACAAACCUCUGUUCGUUUUCUUUGAACUCAAAUCUGCCCAAGAAUCCAUCAUCAGGUAAUCAUAACUCCAUUUCUUAUUCAUUCUAAUUCCUGAACGAAGUAGCAUACAUGAAAUCUGUGCCUUUUGGGUUUUUAUUGCUUGGCAUUUCGAUGGAUAAUUUUAUCUGGAAUGGGAGAUUUGAGGCACUAAUUUCAUGAUGUUGUGAGGAUUUUUGAUGGGGAUGUGAUUCUUAUGGGAUUUGAUCGUGGGUCAUGUGAAUCUGGUUUGAAUGUUUGCCAGUACUUUUGAGAUUGAAUCUGUUGUUGUUGCUUUUGCGUUUUCCCUCGCAUGUUGGAUGGUUUCUCUGCUCUUAUUACUUGGUUCCAAAAUCUGUUUUCACCCAAGAGUCCAAUCAUAUCUGUCUUCUGUUGCAUUCCAUCUAAACACUCUCUAUUGUAUGGCUGAAUCUUGUUAUUCAAGGAAGUUUUCGUUUUUUUUUUUUUUUCUUUUCUGUUUUUGGCUGGGAAAUUCGUGGUCAUGACCUAGGCUGAGGGACAGAAAUUUGAUGUUCAUUUGUAGCUUGAUUGAUAUAUUAUGCACACAUAUGCUGCAAUCUAAAACAGCAAUCAGUAGUAAUGCAUGCCUUAUAACUUUCAUUGUACUGUCUGCAUUUUUUUUUUCUUUCCUCUUGGUUUUCUGUUCGUUCGGCUGUUCUAAGUAGUUGUCGUCAUUGCAUUUCUGGUGUGGUCAUAGGAGGUUGUUCAACAGAUUGUUUGAAAGAUUUUGAGGUGUGUUAACAUUAAGUGAAAUUUCUGGUGGCUGUUUUCCUUCAAAAAGCAUGCGUGUGUUUGAAAUUUUUUUAGGAUAAGUAGCUAUCAGUUGCCUUUAUCUGGUUUUGGUUUGAAACUUCUUUCCAUUUUCUUCCUCUUCCCCCCUCCUAGUUUGUUGUGUUCAAGCGGAGUUGUUGAAUCCAUUGGUUUGCUUUGUACAAGUGCAUCUGGGCUAAAUAGAAAAGUUGCCGAACCUUGUGUAGCAUAGCUUGACUGUUAGCUUCAAUGUUUUGUGAAGUUUGGCUGCAGCAUGUUUCUCAUGUAGCCUCUCAUAAGAACUUGCAUGAUAUGUAAUGGGAAAUGGUUUGUUUUAGUAUGUUUCAUUCAUUAAUAAGUAAUGAGUUGUGUUAGCUAAGUUGAGCUCAAAAUGUCAUGGGAAUCCUGUUUUGCAUUUGCAGAGUUUUUUUUUCGGAUGAAGCUAUAUCAGAAAUACAGAAACAGAACCUGUUUUUCUGAGAAGCCUUCGUUUGCAUGCAUGAUAAUUUUCACAAAUUUCAUUUUUGACCCCUCAAGUCCCUUCUUAUUCUACUAUGACCCAGAAAAUUGAGAAAACUAACCAAUUGGGUCCCUGUGAUUUUGCAGCAAUGCAUUAUGGCCCAAUUACAUUCCAAUGCUUGCAAUUAGGUUCUAAGGUGUUCGCAUUUGAAUCAUUAAUUGAUCUUUAUUAUUUUUGGGACCUUUGAAGCUCUUUGAUGAUUCGUUUUGACGUUGAUUGUGAUUGAUUAGUGGUCGUUAUUGGGUCCUACAAAUGCAAGUUUAAACCAUUCAUGGACUUUCAUUCACUCUUGGAUUCUUGAGAUAUGAUGUUUGCUUGGAUUUUAAUUUUUUUACUUGGGGACCUUUGAGUUUUUAAAUGCUUCAAUUAGGUUCAAAUGAUUUGAGUAGUGCUUGCAUUUGGGUUUUUAGUAGAUGUUAUGCUUGGGGAUUGGAUGAUCAUGCUUUUUGCCUUGGUCUUUAAGUAGUUUUGACUUCAUUGAGUUGCAAUUGAGGGAAAGUUUGAUGUUUGGUGGAUUCAAAUUGUUUAGUUUAUAUCUUAUCACUAAAUUGGUGCAUUAAUCUUUUGUUUUUGGUGAUUUUAGCCUAAGUUAGUCUUUUCUUGGGUGACUCUAGCCAAGUUGAGUUUGUUUACCUCCUUAGUAUCACCAACGGGGAGGUAUAAUCUCUUUUACCCCUUUUGUUUCUCUCCUAUGUGGACUUAUGUGCUAAUUGGAAUUUGCAUCUCUACUUGCUUUCCUAGCCUCUCCUUAUUUCCUUUCAUUUUAUUUCAUUUACUUUUGAUUUUUAAUAAUGGGGUAUGUGUACACCUCUUGGCUUGUAAUAGAUAGGGCGUAGCAAGUAAUUUGGUCCAUUUUCCCUUUCCCCUUUGUUUUAGUUAGCAAAUGUAAUGGUUGCAUGCCUAUGUGUUAUAUGUUAAAUGCUUUAUUAGGAUUUUGCAUCUAGUCAAGCAUGGUAAGUGUUAUGUGCUACGUGUUUAUAAGUGAUUUGCAUGUCUACUCGCUUUUUGUAGUAUAGAUGAAUGGAAUGGAUGAAUGUACGUCACCACACUAGUCCAACGCUAGUUGUGGCUUCUUUUAUCGUUUCCACUAGUCCAACGCUAGUCGGAAUUCAUAGGAUGGGUUAGUCCAAUGCUAGACCCAAUAGGUUUUUUUUUCCUUUUUUUUUUUCAUUAAAUGCAUGAUCACCACAUAUCACGCAUUUUUCAUUAGUUUUAUCAUUUGGUAUGUUCCUCAAACCCCUUCCCCUUCACUUUAGGACUUGCAUCUCAUGCUAGUUAGGGUUCAUCUGCGUGGAAAUCCCCUUAAAUAUGGGAUAUAGACGAGUGUGGCUUUUUCUAAGCCUUAGCACGCUUGUAUCCUCUCUAUCAAAGGGCAAAUUGAGUCACGAUUUAGGUCUCCCCGUACCCAUUAUGCAUGAAUUCCCUAGGUUCAUGCAUCCACUCUAUCAUUACACUUUCAUUUUCUCCCCUCAUUUGCACACGUACACCUUUAUCCCUUCACUUGCACACGAACACUUCUCCUCUCAUUUGCACACGUACACCUUUUUAUCCCUUCACUUGCACACAAGCACCUUUAUCCCUUCACUUGCACACGAACACUUCUCCCCUCAUUUGCACACGUACACCUUUUUAUCCCUUCACUUGCACACAAACACUUUUAUCAUCACUUGCACACAUGUACUUCAUAUUAUCAUUUCACACACCGCACCUUGCCCACUCACGUGCACAUUUCCAUUUACACAUUCUUAUCUUUUAUUACUUUUUCAAACUCAUGUCCUCACAUUGCAUACAUGCAUCCCAUUCAUUUGCAUCCCACUCGCAUUAUUCGUGAUUUCUUCAAAGGAUCGUUAUUGGGCUUCACGAUUAAUGUGAUUGGCACCACUCAACCUUUGAAGGGAAAUUUCCCCCAAUACCCCUAGGUCUAGGGUUUGCAUUCAUGUAGU